rnacentral:rRNA from 1 species
UACGUAGGAGGCAAGCGUUGUCCGGAAUUACUGGGCGUAAAGCGUGCGCAGGCGGUUGUGCAAGACAGAUGUGAAAUCCCCGGGCUCAACCUGGGAAUUGCAUUUGUGACUGCACGGCUAGAGUGUGUCAGAGGGGGGUAGAAUUCCACGUGUAGCAGUGAAAUGCGUAGAGAUGUGGAGGAAUACCGAUGGCGAAGGCAGCCCCCUGGGAUAACACUGACGCUCAUGCACGAAAGCGUGGGGAGCAAACAGG